rnacentral:rRNA from 1 species
GAUGAACGCUGGCGGCGUGCCUAAUACAUGCAAGUCGAGCGAACAGACGAGGAGCUUGCUCCUCUGACGUUAGCGGCGGACGGGUGAGUAACACGUGGAUAACCUACCUAUAAGACUUGGAUAACUUCGGGAAACCUGAGCUAAUACCGGAUAAUAUAUUGAACCGCAUUGUUCAAUAGUGAAAGACGGUUUUGCUGUCACUUAUUGAUGGAUCCGCGCCGCAUUAGCUAGUUGGUAAGGUAACGGCUUACCAAGGCGACGAUGCGUAGCCGACCUGAGAGGGUGAUCGGCCACACUGGAACUGAGACACGGUCCAGACUCCUACGGGAGGCAGCAGUAGGGAAUCUUCCGCAAUGGGCGAAAGCCUGACGGAGCAACGCCGCGUGAGUGAUGAAGGUCUUCGGAUCGUAAAACUCUGUUAUUAGGGAAGAACAAAUGUGUAAGUAACUAUGCACGUCUUGACGGUACCUAAUCAGAAAGCCACGGCUAACUACGUG